rnacentral:rRNA from 1 species
UGCAGGUAACAUAUGAAUAAGGACCGGCUAAUUCCGUGCCAGCAGCCGCGGUAAUACGGAAGGUCCGGGCGUUAUCCGGAUUUAUUGGGUUUAAAGGGAGCGUAGGCGGCUUGUUAAGCGUGCUGUGAAAUGUAGAUGCUCAACAUCUGAACUGCAGCGCGAACUGGCGAGCUUGAGUGCGCGGGAAGUUGGCGGAAUUCGUCGUGUAGCGGUGAAAUGCUUAGAUAUGACGAAGAACUCCGAUUGCGAAGGCAGCUGACUGUAGCGUUACUGACGCUGAAGCUCGAAAGUGCGGGUAUCGAACAGGAUUAGAUACCCUG